AACAAAUGUUGUAGGUUUAUGUUGCAAUCAUGUUACUUAGGUCCAUUGUUACAUAUUUGAUUUUUUUUUCUUGGGAACACGGACAAUAAAAGGAGAAUUUAAUUAUUUUUUUUUUUAUGUCACAUGUGAAUGUCAUGUAUCAAUUUUAUAUCACACGUCUCAUGCUUGAACUUUCGCGUUUCGUGAUCUAUAUGCUUUGAAAGAUUUGCCAUUUUCCUUAAAAAAAAAAUGUUGGUUUAAUACUUUGACCCAUGCCCAAAAUAAAACUUUG
rnacentral:lncRNA from 1 species